GUGCUCGCUUGGGCAGCACAUAUACCAAAAUUGGAGCGAUACAGAGAAGAUUAGCAUCGUCCCCGCGCAAGGGUGACACGCAGAUUCUUGAAGAAGCACUCCAUAUUUUU